rnacentral:rRNA from 1 species
UACGUAGGCAGCGAGCGUUGUUCGGAUUUAUUGGGCGUAAAGAGCUCGUAGGCGGUUCGGUAAGUCGAAUGUGAAAUCUCCACGCUCAACGUGGAGGGGUCAUUCGAAACUGCCGUGACUUGAGUACGGUAGGGGAGUGUGGAAUUCCCGGUGUAGCGGUGAAAUGCGCAGAGAUCGGGAGGAACACCCGUAGCGAAGGCGGCACUCUGGGCCGAUACUGACGCUCAGGCACGAAAGCGUGGGGAGCAAACAGG